GCAGUUCAUUUUAUAUUUAAUUAUUUACCAUUUUUAAAAUGAAGUUGUUAUCCAUGUACUUUUAAAUUACGAAUAUUAUAAAUAAAUAUUUUACUCUAAAAGUAAAAUAUAAUAUAAAUAUAUAAUUAGUAAUAUUUCAUUUGUAUAAUGAAUAUAUAAGGUGUAUUAACGUGCAAAUUUACCUGAAAAUGUAAAAAUUUUAAUAAUAUUCAUUCCAUACCUGGAUUUUAGGGCACUUCAUGACGGUUUAUGGGAUGAAAACGGUGUGCGCUGUUUAUGCAAAAUAUUCCUUUUCGGGGUCCUCGCAAAAUUGGUCAACUCACCCAUAAAAGUAAAAGGAACUAAUCCUCGAAUAGCAUCAUGAUGACGCAAGUAAAUCGAGGGCGGCAGCGUAACACUGCCUACAAUAACAUAUUUGACCAUUUCCAACUGUUCACUGCUGACUGGAGUCAGCAAUAGCAUGGAAUUACUCAGUUUACAAAUACCCCGAACAAUUCCCCAACCAACACAAGUUUGACUAUCUUCAGUACACAAUGCGACAAUGUUAGCAUUGGCAGCUGAUGGAUCACAGACUUUGCCAUUGUAAAGCACAGUUACUACAUCCAAAGACGUUCUAGAAUCAAAUUAAUAAAAUAAAUAUGAUAAUA